CUGAAGCUGCAACCGUAUGUGCAGCAGUCCGUCGUCGGCCGCCCCUGUGCCAAGCUCACCUACAAGUUCUUCGGGCCGUACACCAUCGUCGAGAAAAUCGGGCUCCUGGGGUACAAGCUCGACCUCUCCGCGCCCAGCCGCGUCCACCCAGUCUUCCACGUCUCCCAAUUGAAGCCAUUCACGCCAGACUACACUCCAGUGUACGCCGAGCUGCCACGAGUGCCAGACCUGUCCGUGUCCAGCGCAGCCCCGACGUGCAUUCUGGAGCGACGCAUGAUGAAGAGGGGCAAUGCACCAGUCGUUCAGAUCAAGGUGCAGUGGGGUGACAGUUCACCUCUCGCAGUCACCUGGGAGGAUUUCGACGUCUUGCUCCGGCGCUUUCUAGACGCGAGCAUUUGGGAGGACGACGACGCAAGCUCUCAGGAGGAGGCACAGUCUCAAGGAGGGGAGAAUGUCACGCCUGGCCACUUGUCCAGCGUGACGUGGCAAGGAUCGGGUCCCACCUGUAAGUCGAGCGAGUGGGUGAGAGGAGAGGAGAAGGGAGUGUUUAAAUAG
rnacentral:rRNA from 1 species